UUAUUCUUUUAAUCUUAAGUAUCUUUUGUAAAACCACAACCUAGGAAAAGGGGUAGUUUUAACUUGUUAAAGUUAUAUCUGGAUGGUGAUCUGUGUGGCUGUCGUUGCCUUGCUACAGCCAUAUUAAUGGUGAUUAUACCACCUACUUACAAUCCAUUUGCAUUACUUUGUUGUAAUUACAUGGUUUAUGGUUUAAGGGAAGGAAGGGACCAUCUUUGUUCUUGCUGUAUAAGGGUUCUUGCUGUAUUCUUGCAGUUUUGGCUGUAAUCUUGUUGAAACUGUAAUGCAAAAACAAAACAAAGCCUCAUUUAGAGUCCCUCAGUGUAAGAUCAGCUUGAGUGAGGACCACAGUUAUCUAUCUUAAGUAGAUGCCUGCUAGUAGCCACAUGUAAGUAAACUGGUGUUAUGUUGCUUCAAGUGCCUGUUGCUGUUAUGGGAAGGGUUAUCUGAGUACAAGGUACAGAAAAUAUUCUCAGGGCAACUGUUCCUAAUAAGAGAUGGUUUCUCUUACUGGGUUUUGCUUCAAACAAGUGGUGACUACAGUUUAUGGUUGAACAUUAACUAAAUAGACAAAACACCAAUCCCUCAGAAAUGUGAGAGUUAACUGGUAGAACAGUAUAACUAAACUACCAACUGUGGGCCCCAGUCUUUCAAUUAGAUCUGUGUGGGAGAAUGCCUCUGUUUGUGCAGAACUCCACUGAAAUCAAAGCAAUUACUCUUGCUAUAUAUGUAGGUGUAAAUUGGAGCGGAGUUCAUAUAAGGCUACUGUUGAACAUAUUUCCAUAUGAAAGAAGAAAUGCAACCUUAGGUUUCAAGUUUGCUUUGUAUUUUCAGGCUGCUAUCAUAACGGUAAUUACUUUUCAAACUAUCUUCAGUGCGCUUGAGAUGAGAGGCACAAACAGGUCUUUCAUCGUUCCCCUUAUUAUACAGGAGUAAUCUUUAUAUCACCCACCCAGUGAUAAUAUUAAUAGCCAUGAUAAAAACUCAGUAUAAUGAGAAGUGCCUUCCAACAAAGGACAGUAAAUCAUGCAGUGCAAUCUAUUUAAAAUAGCUGUUCUGAAUCCUUUCAUUAUAUUUCUGUCAACCAACAGCACUGCAAGUUGGAUAUCAGAGUGACCACUCAGUGCAGGAUGCCAUGAAAAGGCAGAAAACUGGGCUCUGCAUUCUGGCAGGUUAAGAUUGCUUAAUCUUUCACAACUGGCCAGCCUUGCAUAGAGGGAUCUGCUUACCAUGGCCAUUAUGAGAGAACAAACACCAAGGCUUUCAGAUAGACUUCUUCAGGCAAAUGUUGCCAAGCCCCAGUCCCUUCCUAUGUUACAGGCAUUAAAAGAUGAUGUAAAAUGGAAUGUUUGAUGACCUUAGAUUUUCUGGAGCUCCCAUAAGGUCAUUCCCCUUUAAAGAGAAACCAUCAAUUUAAAAGUCACAUGCUAUUAGAGGUUAAACCUAAGAUUACUGUAAUUGAAAGAUAUUAGAAGAAAUAUAUGGUGUAAGAGAGACAAACCGGUCUUUCAUCAUUCCCAUUAUUAUACAGGGAUAAUCUUUAUAUCAUGUACUCGUUGAUACUAUGAAUAGCAUUAAUGAACAGCAUGAUAAAAGCUCAGUAUAAGAAGAAGUGCCUUCCAACAAAUUAUAAUAAACCAUGCAACAUAAUUCAGUGUAAUACAAUGCAGUGCAAUCUUAUCUACCUACCUUCUUACCUUUCCUGAUCUGUUCGUGCCAAUGUCUGAAAAUGAGGCAAUAUAACUCUGUGAGAGUAGCCCUGAACUUCCAGAUAUGGAUAAACAUUAUAUCUGAAUAAAGGUGUUAUGUUCACUGCAUCUGCACACACAAUCCCCUAGGUACCCUAUAUGAAAGCUGUUUUGGUAAUAAGCAGAGGGAAAUAUUCCUGUCUUAUGAAAAAGGUCAAUACUUUUUAAACAGAUCCAGAGGUUUCCCCUUUCUUACAAGACCCAGAUGAGAAAUCAUGUUCUCAGGUUUCCUAGAUAAGUUUGUACCUUCAAAAAAUCUGUUGACUUUUAUUACUAAUUUCAGAUGGAAAUCGUAAAAUUUCAGUUUAUCCAAGCAAGGGAUGAAAGCUGUAACUAGGCAAAAAGAAUUACAUCUAUUUUAAACAGUAAUUCAAUCAAAAACAAAAUAGAAGCAUUUUUCUCAUUCAACAUGUACAAGCUGCCAGAUACUGAGGCACUCAAGAUAAAGGAGGUUUCACCCUUUAGAUGGAAGAAGUAGGCCCAUGGUUUCCAGCCAUAUUGUGGUCAUAAUAUACUCCCUCUUUGUUCAGUGAACUAAAUUAUGUGAUUAUAUGAACUACAUGCAAAUAACUAGGUUAAAAAUGAUAAGAAGAUCAAAUAUCCAUGUUAAAGCUGAAGAGAGUGCUAGUCAAUGAGAGUAAGGCCAUUAGAGUCUAACCCUCAACUUUUAAUGAUAGUAGAAGUGAAACUCACUGGUAACAAUGACAAGAAAAUGGCAAUGGCAUUUAGCAUCCUCUAAGUGAUGGUUUUGUGAAAUGCUAUAUCACUGUUUUAUACCCUGGAAUAUACAGUGGUAUACAAUGGGUGUGUCUACAUGAGAUGCUUACUGUGAGGAAACCUAAUAACACUAUACUGGUGUUGUCAAAACCCAUGCUGGUCAAAAACCAUGCUAAUAUGUUACUGCACAGUGUUAUUAAGCUACUGCACAGUAAGCAUUACAAAAAACCCAUGCACCAGCACUACUGCAUAGUGACUGUAGUUAUUGUGCAUUUAGUUAGUACUUCAUUAAGUACUAAACUAAAUGGGCAGUAACUACUGCACAUUAAUGAAUAUGUAAACACACCCAGUAUAAGAUUGCUUUGAUUUCAGAUUUAACCCAGUACUAUAAAUGGGGGUGGGGGUGGCCUGGGACGCAGCCCUGGGUACCACCCUUGUGAAGGGCUUGCAAGAGUGUGUGCUGCUACAAUCAGCGUAGUAGGAGCCAGCACUGCCCCAUGUGUUGCAGCUGCCCCAGGUACGGUGCUUCCAUGCUGUGCCUCUAAUUUAAUAGAAGGUAGGCUAGAUUUGCACCCUAUAGACUCACAAGGCUAUAUCUAUAUAUAUAGAUAUAUCUAGAUAUAUAAAAAUCAGACUGACUGAAGUAGAUAUAUAGAACAAAUAUAUAGCUCAAGUUUUAAUGGGCUGAAAGCUGGUGCUAUUUAUCUACUUAGGUUAGUCUAUAAGGUUCAAAUCUAUCCUGCCUUCUACUUGACUUCAGACUAACACAGCUAACUGCAUCCCACUGUUUUAACCUAUUAGUUUAAAUGUCUAGAGCUUUUAUGAGAAGCAAAUACUUUUUUGUUACCUGUGUAACAGAAAUACAGAUGAUAAAAGCCCUAUGAGGAGAGACGCCAAGCCCUAUGAGGAGAGUUGCCAAGCCCUAUGAGGAGAGACUGGGGAACGUGGAGCUCUUCAGCCUCUGCAAGAGAAGGUUGAGAGGAGACCUUGUGGCUGCCUAUAAGUUCAUCACGGGGGCACAGAAGGGAAUUGAGGUGUCUUCAGGAUAAGCCCACUGAAGAUUGAGAGGACCUCAGAUAUUAAGGCAAUGGGGCCAUGCACAUCACUGACUGUUCAUGACUGAGUUAUAAUGACUGAAGAGGAAUUUAAUGCUCAUAUCUUUGGAAAACCAUUUAAAGAAAUAACAGUAAGGAGAGACACUCUUUUGCCUACUUUAGAUUGGACAAUGCAACUACUUCUUCUGUCCAGAAUAUUAUGCUACCUACAGAGAUGAACUUUAAUUAAAUAAGAUCAUACUAUGGAGUUUGGAUCCUACCAAGGAACACUGGACUUUCCAUUUAGGAUUUCACUGCCCUAUCUGAUAGUGACCUGCACCACCCAACUUAGAGGAAGGUGAAAAAACUUCUGCAAUGGUUAUGAUCAAAUUAAUCCUUCCUAAUCCUUGUAAGUUAGUGCUGACUUCUGAGUUGAUAAAGAUAAAUUAUAUUUUCAUGGAAAAAAAUGUGAUGUUUGUUUUGAGAUGUUUUUAUUUUCAGGCAUAACAUUUAUACUUUUAAAAACAUAAGCCUUUUAAAAAUGAAAUCUGAAUUUAAUACAAACAUGAUAAAGUCUAA